GUGAUGAAACAUUUAGAUGUAAUAGGACUUAAGCUCCUUUAAACUUUUUAAGCUCAACUUA
rnacentral:tRNA from 1 species